GGCCACGUCUUCCUGCAGCUAUUUAUGGCCGUGGGUGAGAAGCCCUAAGUCCCCUCUGCUCCAUGCUGAGCAGCCCCAGUUCUGUCAGCCUUUCCUUACAGCCAUCUCAGUGGCCACCACCCUCCAGGACGCCCAGGUCUCUCUUGUACCGGGGAUGCAGAUCUGGACAAAGUACACAAUACAAAGAAAACCCUAUUGAUUGCUCCUACCCAGCUAAAGCACGGUGCUGAUGGGCUCCUUGGAUCCACAACAAGAGACAGCUCUCCCCCCACACCUCAGAGUUAACAGGCACAGCUGGUAACAUUAGCCCAGCUGACUACCCGUAACUGCCAGGUGACAGCCAGCACUCCCUCCUGCCCGUUACUUUUUAUCAGGGCAUCUCACACAGCUGUGAAGCCCGAUUUCCACAAGGAAGGUCUGCCCACACACAGAUCAAAAGACGUUAGCUUAACCUGAACGGUUGUACUGAACAGUUUCCUUCUGGCUCUGCUUUUCCCUUGCUACACUGGCAGAGCCUGUUUCAAUUAUAACUAGUUUAUCAGAAAGCACCUUCUACUGCUUUGACUUUUUCUUCUAUCAGAAGGACACAUCCCCGUGGGAAUGCCUGCUGUGUUUUACAGUCUUGUAGCAAUCCUUGGAUCUUGGCACCAUGAGAGCAGCCCCAAGCCUCCUAUGGAAGAUGCUUCACAGAGCAGUUGGCCUGGUGUCAUGCAUUGGGGCUGGGGAUGCAGCUACCACAGCUGCACUGCAGGAUCCCUGCCUCCAAACCCAACACAUUGCUCUUUCCUAGGACCUGCAGCAAUCUUUCUCCAUCAUUCUGGGGCAGCAUAGUUGGAAGUGACUGAAAUUCCUUUGUGCAUCACGAGUAAACUGCAAGGAACUGUUGUAGUUGAACCUGAAUGUUUCAAACUGGAGGUAGCAGAGCUGGGAGCUGAUCAGAGGCUUCAUCAGCCCCAGGUGCCACAGACAUCCUCACACCUCUGUCCACCUCCACAGGAGGAAAUCCAUCACACAACAUGCAGCCUUUACCAAACCCCUUCUCUUUACUCAGCUCAGAGUCCUCCAAAAGAGCUUACCCUGAUAGGGGUGAACAGAGCAUGGACUCCUCUCGUGCUGCCCAUUUGGACACAACUGACACAAUCACUACCUGAUAGCUGUUGACUGACAACAGGCCUCAAACAAAUGCACAGAGGAUGAAGAAAAUGCUUGGAUUAUAGCAUUGUAUAAACUGAUGGAAAAGGACUGUACCUUAAACUGGAACUUGCUCUUUUUGCCUUGAAUUCCAGUAAGGACAUUAUUAAGUUUCCACUAUUCUUACAGUAUUUCUGACAAUCAAAUUAGCCUAUUUGUCCAUUGCUACCUACUGCCAGCUUUCCACCUCAACCCAGUCAUGUGCAACCAUCAGGUCUACUCCAUAUAUCUGAAUUAUCUUCCUGUCAAUCCUUAACACUCUGUGUGAAUAGCUUACAACAGAAAUGUAAUUAGAAAGGCAUGAGAUUGACAAAAUAUUAUGUAUGGUGUAUGAGCAAAGAAAAUGAUCUGAAAACUGACUGUCGGAAGGGAGAUCUGGAUCAAAGUAUUCUCUUUGGCAUGUGACAUACAGCUCCCUUAUUUUUAUGAAGCACUUGCCAUGUCCCUUCCAGAUGAGGACAUACUCAACAAAGACUACCAACAGAGGAAGA
ensembl:lncRNA